UACGUAGGGGGCAAGCGUUGUCCGGAAUCAUUGGGCGUAAAGAGCGUGUAGGCGGUUCGGUAAGUCGGCUGUGAAAGUCCAGGGCUCAACCCUGGGAUGCCGGUCGAUACUGCCGGACUAGAGUUCGGAAGAGGCGAGUGGAAUUCCCGGUGUAGCGGUGAAAUGCGCAGAUAUCGGGAGGAACACCUAUGGCGAAGGCAGCUCGCUGGGACGUUACUGACGCUGAGAACGCGAAAGCGUGGGGGAGCAAACAGG
rnacentral:rRNA from 1 species